rnacentral:lncRNA from 1 species
GGUGUGUGGACGGAAUGGACGCCAUGGUCUACAUGUGAUGUCACUUGUGAAACUGGAAUCCAGUCGCGAUCAAGGACAUGUACAAACCCAGCACCAGCGCACGGUGGUCAAGACUGUGUAGGCAACCAAGCGGAAACAAAACAAUGUCAGAAGUCACUCUGUCCUGUACACGGAAACUGGAGCUCAUGGGAAGCAUGGGGAGCUUGUUCGGUUUCCUGUGGAAUUGGUAUUCAGAGACGGCAACACACCUGUACAAACCCAGCACCACAACGAUUUGGCGACCACUGUUUUGGUUUGAAUAUUGAUGAUCGGAUCUGUGUACCUAAAGCGUGCUCGGGUAUGCAGUAAAAAUAUGUGUGUAUAAAUAGCAGAGCUUACCUCGACACAUGCGCAGACAUAUAUCUAUUUCCGGGUGUAAACAGUGUAAUGACGCCCGCCGUAUGAUUUCGAGACAGAAACGGUUAACAUUAAUGUGGAAAAUAUAGUUAAUAUUUUGUAAUAACAGUCAACAGUCAAACUAUCUUACCGCAGUUCGGAAAUGCUGCUUGCGGUCACCAUUGUUGAUUUCUUUUUCUUUUUUUUUUGACGUAUUGGAAAUCCGACAAGAAUACUACACUUUCAAUUUCAUGUUCUAAAACUAGGUUUCGGUAAUCCAUACAAAUUAUAGAAAACAUACUAGCAAUUGGAUCAUUUGUUUAGAAAUUCUGUUACAUGUAGGGGAAGCUGCGGCUUUGGAACGAGGACAAAAGUCCUAGAAAAGCCACUUCAAAGAACGCACCCGUCCAUACAGCUCAACAAAGUUCUGUCCACAUUAAAUGUUUUAAUUAAACUUAAUGAUUAGGAAAUCGAAAUUUAUUCCUUCUGUCGAAACGUUAAGAGUUUUUCUUCUGAUGUAGGAGUAUGCCUUUUAAUUUUGGAGAAGUGCUGAUUGUACUGAACAACUGCUCAAACAAAUUAGAAUAGGAAAGGAAGAUAGAUAAAAUUAAACUUAUUUGCAAGUGGAAUACAAAUUCUCACAACAAAAGUGUUUAUAAUGUAUGUCUUUUAUCAAAAUGUAUAGUGUUCAAAACGCAUUCAUCAGUCGAUGGUAUAUGGACGGAAUGUACGUCCUGGUCUACUUGUGACAUCACUUUUGACAACGGAACCUAGUCACGGUAAAUUAAGGUCUUAGACAUGAAAUUACUGUUACUUGUAGAGAUUCUGUUCCUCUUACAAAUAUAGGAGGUUUCGUUACUGCAGCAAUUCACAUGAAUGAAGAGAAAAAUAUUUAUAAUAUUUAUCAGCGAACCGCUGGCUGAGAAAUCCUAAUUACGUAAUUGGACAAAAGUUCAGAGGCUUUUUAGUGAACCUCAUGUUACACAUAUCUUUAUAUAUAACGUGACUGAUUGUUAAAUACAAAUUUAAGUAAGCUACGGAAAGCCCGUGUUGUCAUUUCAAAUAUUUAAUAUUUACGGCUCCGUAUUGCUAUAUUCUACUGAUGUUGUUAUCUUACAUCACAAGUAUAUCAGAAUGAUAUUUCAACUAUUCAGAUUUAAGUACUAAAUUGAACUGCGUAAUAUUAAAUGCAUGUUAUCAGUUUAAUGGCCUUGUGUGAGCGACAAUCUCCUAUUGCAAAACUAAACGAAAAUUACCUGUAACAUUAUUAAAGUAUAAUUAUGUCAUGAAACAAGAGGAGGUGAUAUUUUUACAUAUUUUAAUUUUAAUGCCUUUUAGCAGUCUGAAACAUGUCACAUGCCGUUUUUGUUGUGUUUAAUGAAUGGUAAUUAGUAUUUUUGUAAUUGACUGAGCGAUUAUUUAAAAUGCAGUGACAGGUCGUGUGGUUUAGGUCGUUGACUUUGAAUCUCUUACGUCUCACCGAUGUGAGGAAGCCGUCCAGCUGGCUUACGGAUAUCCAGUUGCCCGCCUGCGAUAUUUUUACAUGUACAUAAUUUUAAUGCCUAUAAGCAGUCUGAAACAUAAAUAUUACCAUAUCAUCUUUAUAAUACAGUAAUAUAAAAAUUAGGACAUGUAGACGAAUGUCAGUAGUUUAAAGAAACCGCUAGCAAUAUUUUAACAUCAAUGCUAUUUGUCCGUUUGACAUACGCACUAACAAACAAAGGCCUGUUGGGUGAAGCAUAAAAUCCAUCCGCCUUUCUAACCGAGUAUGAGCAAAGUCUUGGGUCAUCUUUUCCUCCUUUUUGUUUCGUUCCAUUGUAAAUAUUAUCCAGCAUUAUUAACUAAUUAUUAAAAAAUAUGUUUCUAUUUCCAUAUUAAUAACAGAUGUUGCUUUCCGAUGUAAUGGAAUGGAUCUUGUCACAAAUUCCAACAUGACUUUCAUGUUUAGGACUGUUUCAUUGAAAGAGGGCAACGGCUAUGAUAAUAAUAUUGGGGAAUUUACAGCGCCAGUAGCAGGGACAUAUUUGUUUUCAACACAGCUAUGUGUGAAUCAAGGACAUGAUGUGGUUUACGCUAUUGUUGUUGAUAACGUGAAUGUUAAAGUAGGUCAUUUUAAUGACAAAGACUGGACAUUUUGCCACUCAGCGGACACUUUGGCUGUUUUAAGACGUACAAGUCGUGCGUGGGUUAAAUGUAUCACAUGUGACAAGUAUGCUUUGGUUGAAAGAGAAAACUUCUCAAACACAUUUUCUGGUGCUUUGUUGCACAAUUAAAUGAUGACAACCCCUUUCCCUUGCAUUUACGCUUCCUUGCAUUUGCUGCCUCUCUCCUUUUAUCAUGAGUACGUUAUCAUGCCCAACAUAAUUUUGUCAGCCGGUCGUCCUUGGGCGGUUCCCGGUUGUUGUUAUUUCCUGCUUGUGUGUAUGUGUGUCUGUGCGUGUUUGUCAUAGGCAAUGUCCCAAAGUGUUGUUUCUUCUUACUUGCUUGUUUAUAUGUGUAUGUUAGAUGUGUGGGUGUUUGUCUUUUGUACGUGCGUGUCUGCGACGUUGAAGGAAUACUGCGUUUAAGGAACGUUGCUUUCCCUGUUGAAUAUUCAUCCUUGCUCCACCUUCCCCCAACAUCCGACCCGUUAAUCUACCCCUUACCACCCCACCCACAUUUUUCUAUUAUUUUCAUAUAUUUAUAAUGUACUUGUUGUUGGAUUUUUGAAGCAACACAUCUACUGUAUUUUUCCGUUACAGCUUCUUUUUGUUGUGGGCCUACUUUGCGAUGUAUGGCUCUAUGAUUGUGUUUGUUGUGCUCUGAGCUUCCGAGAAAUCUACCUUUACCUUUUAUCUUCAAUAGCGUAUUUUCUGUAGUUAUGGUGCGUUUUUAUCAUACAUUUGAAUUGUUCACCAUGAAAAUGCACUGCAUGAAUUACUUUUGUUUUGCUCGAGUUUAACAGUAGAUGAGAUAUAAAGCGCUUUUCAGUUGUUAAAGCGCUUUUCAAUUGUUAAAGUGCAACCGAAAUAUCGUGUAGGUUUAUCAAAAUACAGUCAUAAGACAUAGUUUAGUCUGAUAUGACAUUUUUCUGUUUUGCUCUCGUUAAUGAGGACCAACGUUUACUAUAAUAUUUGCUAUUUAAAAAAAAAACAGCAAAAAAGUAAUGUUGGUUGCGUGUUAAUUGCUACUUGAAACAUAUCCAUGACAUAUAUUGACUGUAUGAUUCGUUAUCCUACUAGACAGAAAUUAAUAAAGUGUUGGAUCCA